rnacentral:rRNA from 1 species
UUGUAGGGGGGGAGCGUGGCUCAGGAUAACGCUGGCGGCGUGCUUAACACAGCAAGUCGACGAUGACCACUUCGGUGGGGAUUAGUGGCGAAGGGUGAGUAACACGUGGGCAAUCUGUGCUGCAUCUGGGGCAAGCCCUGGAAAGGGGUCUAAGCCGGAUACUUACACUUGGGCACGAAGCUGUUCGAAAGCUCCGGCGGUGCAGGAUGAGCCCGCGGCCUAUCAGCUAGUUGGUGAGGUAAUGGCUCACAAGGCGCGAUGGGUAGCCGGCCUGAGAGGGCGCCGGGCGCACUGGGACUUAGACCGGCCCAGACUGCUAGGGAGCACAUUGGGGAAUAUGCCAAGGUCGAAGCCUGAGCACGCGCCGCGUGAGGUAUCGGCCUCGGGUUGUAACCUCUUCGCGGGUAAAGCGUAAAUUCGGUUCGCGACAGAACACGAGUGUUGCA